rnacentral:lncRNA from 1 species
UAGACCCUAAAACGGGUCAACAGGAGCACAGGUCAAAACUUUUCUUGCCGAAUGGCUGUUUAGGUUAGAAAGCAAAAUCAUCUUUUCCCUUUUAUUUCCCACGGCUACUCUCUAAAGUUUCAACUUUCCUCUGAAACUUCUUCCUCAAGAACAAAGCCCAAACACCAGUGACCUUUCCCUAGAAUUCGACGUCGAUUCACUAUUGAUCUCACUAUUCCUUAUUUUCCUCUUUCUCUUUUUUCUAAGUUUCUAAACUUUCCAACAACCAAGAACCUGUAACAAGAAAAUGAACAAGCCUAGAAACCAUCAAAUAUCACUACUAGAAUCCUGCGUUAAUUCGCCGUGCACCACCACCAUCUAUGCCACUACUCUCUGUUGAAACCACAAAAAAACUUCCUACCACAAAACCCAAAAACAAGACCUAAAUCGAAACCUUAAAAAAAUCCCUUUAUUACCAACUUCUUGCCUUUUUAUGAUUUUGGAUUGCUACUAAUUGAUUGUGAUUGUGAAUGGGUUCUUAUUUUUGGGUUCAAGUUAGUUGAUUUUUGGGUUUAAUGGGUUGAAACCCUCGAUCACUAUCUUGUGUAUGUUGAAUGUGUCAAUUCUGGGUUGGUUAAGUUUCGAUUUUUCUGUAUGAUUUUCUAGGUGUUGCUUCUUGAAAUUGGAUUGCUUGUGAGCUUGGUUCUGGGGUGGGUAUGAUUUUUUGUUUUAGUUUGGGAUUAAUGGCUUUCAAUUUGUGUUUGCUUCGUAUGGGUUUGGUAUGGUUGUGCUGUGAUUAUGGCUCUCUAUUUGGAAGAGUUCGGGAUGGGUUCGGUUUUGCUUGAAAUUCUUCCGUGUUGAAUAUCUGCUUAUGGCUGGUUUCUAUUUGAAGUUGCUUUACCAUAGGACUAUGUGAGGCCAAUUCUAUUUUUGAUUCUACUUUUAUGUGAUUACCUCCCUUGGUCGAUUAAGUUCCUCUUCUGUGUUGCUUUGCUUUUGUUGAAUGGGGCUAUUUUCAGAAAUGGUGGUGAAGAUAGUAAAGUGGUGAUGGCUGCUGUGGUCGUCAAGAUGCUAAUGAAUGGUGGAUGAUGAUGUUUGUAGGGAAUUUGCUGGCGACUGAUGAUUGUGGAAUUUGGGUAGUGUGGGUAGAGGCAGUGGACGAUUAGCGAUGGUAUCUGAGGCAAUGGUGAACUGAUGCUAUCCAUGUAUGCUUGCUUUUUCCUUCUCUCGUGACUUGCAGAUUCGAAUCCUUUAUAGGGAUUCAUGCUUCUCUAAUUUGGGAAAUAAUUUCCCCAAAUCUAUGAUUGUGAUUUUAUUUCUUUAUGAAUUGAUUCUCUGCGAUUUGAUUUGCACGAAUUAUGCCUCAAGAUCAAAUCCGAGACUAAAUCACGGGUUUCCUUUUUCACAAUAGUCCCA